UUUCCUGAGGCCUCCCCAGCCAUGCUGAACUGUUGAAAAGGUCUAGUAAAGUGAAGCAAUUUAUGCAGUUCCUUUCCUUGUUAAACUGGCAUAGGAGGAAAGCAGCCAGACUAUUCAAUGAAAAGAUAAAGAUGAUGAAGACCUUUAUGAUAAUCCACUUCCACCUAACGAAUA